rnacentral:tRNA from 1 species
ACCUGGGUGGCUCAGUCGGUUGAGCGUCUGACUUCGGCUCAGGUCAUGAUCUCACGGUCUGUGGGUUCGAGCCCUGCAUCAGGCU